UCCUUUCUCGACCAAAAAUCCAAUCUUUAAAACAAAAAAUCCAAUCUUUGUUUGUCCCAUGAAGAAACUAGUGCUCAUAUUCAAUCUCACACUUUGAGCCUAUGCAGAGAUUAUUAGCUAGAAAUUAUGAGUAAAAGAACGCAAAAGCACGAGGCUAAUGCAGCAUUCGAACAACUUCCUGAAUUUAGCAAGCUCAAGCACUUGACAUUGCAACUUGUAGCAGAUUAUUUUUCAAAACUUCUCGUUUGGACUACCUUGAUAAAUGGAUCACCUUUGCUGCAUAAAUUUAAAUUG